rnacentral:rRNA from 1 species
GGGGGAAAGACCACAGGGGUUGCCUCAGUAACGGCGAGUGAAGCGGCAACAGCUCAAAUUUGAAAGCUGGCUCUCUCAGGGCCCGCGUUGUAAUUUGCAGAAGAUGCUUUGGGCGCAGCGCUGGUCUAAGUUCUUUGGAACGAGACGUCAUAGAGGGUGAGAAUCCCGUAUGUGACUGGUUGCUUGCGCCUGUGUAAAGCUCUUUCGACGAGUCGAGUUGUUUGGGAAUGCAGCUCUAAAUGGGUGGUGUACUUCAUCUAAAGCUAAAUAUUGGCCAGAGACCGAUAGCGCACAAGUAGAGUGAUCGAAAGAUGAAAAGCACUUUGGAAAGAGAGUUAAACAGUACGUGAAAUUGUUGAAAGGGAAGCGCUUGCAAUCAGACUUGAGCGGCGUCGAUCAGCCUGGGUUCUCCCUGGUGCACUCGACGCCGCGCAGGCCAGCAUCAGUUUCGGCGGUUGGAUAAAGGCCUAGGGAACGUGGGUCGCCUCGGCGACCGUUAUAGCCCUAGGUGCCAUGCAGCCUGCUGGGACUGAGGACCGCGCUUCGGCUAGGAUGCUGGCGUAAUGGUUGUAAGCGGCCCGUCUUGAAACACGGACCAAGGAGUCUAACAUUUGUGCGAGUGUUUGGGUGUCAAACCCAUGCGCGUAAUGAAAGUGAACGGGGGUGAGAACCCUUUAGGGUGCAUCAUCGACCGAUCCUGAUGUCUUCGGAUGGAUUUGAGUAAGAGCAUAACUGUUGGGACCCGAAAGAUGGUGAACUAUGCCUGAAUAGGGUGAAGUCAAAGGAAACUUUGAUGGAGGCUCGCAGCGGUUCUGACGUGCAAAUCGAUCGUCAAAUUUGGGUAUAGGGGCGAAAGACUAAUCGAACCAUGAGCCUUAUAUUGCUAGGUGGUUGAGAGGCCUGAAAGGCCUAGUCGCUUCGGUGGCAAUACUGCAAAACUGCGGGGACUGCUCUAGAGGCGCAGGCUACCACAGCGGGCUCGAAAGGGCUCGCCACGGUUACAAGGCCUGGCGUCUGAGCUGAUCCGCAACCUUCGCCUACCGCGCUCCCUACCCGGGAGCGGCCACGGCGCAGGCUCAUCGACUAGAUGGCAGUGGGUGCGCGGUGCGCCUAAGGGAUAGUCAGGUUGCAGCUGCCACGCUGCAGCUACGCGAUUGGCC